rnacentral:lncRNA from 1 species
CCUGGCUUCCGGCCCAAGAGCCCUCCCAGAAAGAUACCUGUAAUACCGCCCGUAAUGAUGGGCUUACACAUUAAAGGCCAAUUGGCAAAAAAGAGGGACUUAGAUCGGGGGAACACCAGAAGUUAGCCGAGUACCAGUCGUUUUAACGAGUGUAGUUUAUAUUCAGAGAAAUUCUGGCAAAUAUAGCCCUUUCUAACAUGACAAACAGCGAAGAACAGGAAGGCCAGAAUGCAUAAAGGGGGGUGGGGUGUGUGCGCGCUAACAUUUCUGACCAAACCUCGAUAUUUGCGCCCUCUGCUCUGAUGUCCCUCAUUGACCACGAGGGUGCUCCUGCUUUAGCCAGUGGCUCUGCGAGCUGUAUUUUAUAAACAGGGGAUCCCAGGCACCCAAAUAACCAGGUCGACGCCCCCAUCCGGACCAGAGGGGCAGUUUCCGGUUGUGUCCUGACCGCUGGCCCUCGUCGCGCCUGGAGGUGACCGCUGUACACCGUCAAGACCCACGGUCACUCGUCCAGAGGAAGAAAAGAAGCAAUCUCAGCAGAUGCAGGGCCCGGCGCGCCGGUGGUGGAGUUUCCAAAAGCCCUACAGGUGAUGCCACCCCGACGCCCCGCGACGCUGGCCCUGGGUAGUCUCGACCCUCUCCGGCUCCGCAGCUUCCCCCGACCCCGCGGGACGGCCGGGGCUUCGGCGGCGAGACUUGGGAAAGUGUCCCCUGCUCUGCGCACCUCCCUCGCUGCGCGGACCGCGCGCUGGAUGCCAGAGCCACGGUGAGUCCGGAAGGCGACGGAGCAGACCACUUGCUCCAGCAACCCCCCCCGCGGCGCCGCCGCCUGUCUUUCGCGCCUCUUUGGGACCCGAGGCCCCCUAAUCGCGGGGAAGCCUGAGCCCCCCUGGCCCUCCCGCCCCGAGUCCACACCCCUCCAAGGAGCAUCCUCUCCGACCCGGCUCUGUGGCAGGUGGUACAGUCAGGGCGGGCUCAGUGACCUCGUCUGCAGCCCCUUUCCUGACCACGGGGCCGGCUGCUACCUCGCCCUCCUUUCCCAAGUUGCUCCACUCCCCUCCACCCCCAAACUCCAGACCCCCUCCGUCGCGCCGGCAGCAGUCUUACCUCACCAUGCAACACUUGGUUGCGCGGUUGCCCGGGGCGCUCCUUCCUCACAGUUUAUUCCCUUACUUGGGAGGAAAGAGGAACCGAGAGACGGAAAGGGGACCGAAGCUGGCGUAAGGGCGUCUUCCCGCCCGCGCAGCCCUCUCGGGGGAGGGGGAGGAGGCGGGGGAGGGGAGCCCCGGGGCGCGCAGCGGAGAUCGGGCGACCCGCCUGCGGGCAGGCAGCUCCCGGGUCCUCGGCCUCCGCCCGGGGAUCUGCGGUUCCCCAGCGGUUCGUCUCGGCCGCCCGCUACUACGGCACUGGCACUGCGGCUCUGCACCCUGUCCCUCGCAGCCUGGCAAGUCCAGCUGCCACUCUCACUGCGGAGGCCUGCCCCCGGGCGCAGAGCCCGCCCCCGCCACACACACACACACGCGCGCGCGCGCGCACACACACGCGCCACACGCAGACACGCGCGCCCACACACCAAUGCGGUUCCGUUCAGUGGGAACCCGUGUCCCUCUGGUGCAACUUGGGCGCGGACAUCACGACGGCGCUUCUUGCUGGCAGCACUUUGGUUUCGGAGGAGGAGGAGGAGGAGUCAGGAGUUUGGGGGCGCAGAAAGGACGCAGCAGUGCUGGGCGCCAGAGGCCAGCUCACCCGGAGCUGGAGGACACGUUUGACAAAAUACACGAGAAAUCCCCCCGGGCAUUUCCUUUUCUCAGCCUAGAAACCUCGGGGUCUAGGUUAGCUUAAAUAUCCCAAUCAAAUCAGAGAAAAAUUAUAAAUAAAAGAUGAACAAGUUCUGUUUGCCAGGAACUCAGUGCCUCUAGCAUCCAAAUCAUCAGCCCUGUGUGUGUGUGUGUGUGUGUGUGUGUGUGUGUGUGUGUGGUGGUUCUGACAACCCUGGUCGGGUGGCCGUGGACUGGUGGCUGGUCAGCCUGAACAGGUUUUCUCCUCUGCAGACCCGUAUGGUGGGGACUCUGGCAGCCCUGCAGAGCUGGGCUCCAAAGAAUGGGUCAAAUCUCAGGGCCGACCUCCUAAACUCCCCACUUUACUUUCAAAG